rnacentral:rRNA from 1 species
AGGCAGCAGUUGGGAAUUUUGGACAAUGGACGCAAGUCUGAUCCAGCCAUGCCGCGUGCGGGAAGAAGGCCUUCGGGUUGUAAACCGCUUUUGUCAGGGAAGAAAAGGGUGUUUCUAAUAAAGACGCCUCAUGACGGUACCUGAAGAAUAAGCACCGGCUAACUACGUGCCAGCAGCCGCGGUAAUACGUAGGGUGCAAGCGUUAAUCGGAAUUACUGGGCGUAAAGCGUGCGCAGGCGGUUAUGCAAGACAGAGGUGAAAUCCCCGGGCUCAACCUGGGAACUGCCUUUGUGACUGCAUAGCUAGAGUACGGUAGAGGGGGAUGGAAUUCCGCGUGUAGCAGUGAAAUGCGUAGAUAUGCGGAGGAACACCGAUGGCGAAGGCAAUCCCCUGGACCUGUACUGACGCUCAUGCACGAAAGCGUGGGGAUCAAACAGGAUUAGAUACCCCGGUAG